AUGAUCACAGUGGGGUUCAAGCUGGGGGUUAACGCUUGAAAUUUAUUCCCCAGUAGGUGUGUUAUUUAUUUUUGUCCAUUAUUAAUGUACAAAUUUGCUACAAAAUUUAUCACGCUAAUUGAUAAUUAAUUACUUCAGUGUUAUGAAGCGAAAGGAUGUGAGUUCAUUGAUACCAAUGAUCGAUUAAGUCAGUUGCCACAUGUUGUUUUGAUGUCAAUCAUGUCCUUUUUAAGAAUGAAGGAAGCCGGAAAAACUAGUGUUGUAUCACAAACAUGGUAUAACUUGUGGCAUUGUUUACAUGUCUUGUUCUUCAAAGUAAAUCCCUAUUCUAAAAUCAAAGAUAAACUGUUACUUCCCGAACAAAGAUCAGGUUCGAUAAAUUUGAUAAUUUUUAUCCAACUAUCAAAUUGGUCUAAUUCCAAGAUUUUUCUUGGCACUACUAUCUCCAAUAUGCCAAAGGUACAAGAUUGAGUUCUCUGAUUAUGUCAGAUUUAUGUUUCUGUCAUACCAAAUUGUCAAAUUGAGUUCUCUGAGGGUUUGUUAAUAUACCAUUAACCGCUUAAUUUUCUUCUUAAAGGUAUAUAUAGAGCAAUGUGUAUUAUGUGAUUUAUGUAUUUUGAUAGUAGAUUGAAAAGUAUUGGACUUGAUUUAAUUGAUUCCCAUCACACAUUGGACUCAGUUACUAAAUUUCUAAACCUUUCUAAUGCUUCUUUUAAUUUGACAUAGUACCCUUAGGCUUAGGUGAGGUGUCAAAGCUCAAUCAAAAUUUUUCUUGAUGUUAAUAUCUAAAAAGGGCUAUUACGGGGAUAUAAUAGCUCAUAGUAUGUUUGUGUACAUUUUGUCUCUUAUUGUAACCAAAUUUGAAUUGAACUUGAGCUAAUUAUGUUCCAUUCCUUAUUGACAACUUCAGGUAAGAGGUGAUACUUCACACUAUGAUAUUAUUUUUAAUUCUACUUCCUCUGAAGAACUCUCAACAGGAUUACAUUCAGAUGCUUGUAGUACAUGAGAAGAGUGGCGGAUUUUGAGGACUAGGUACCUUGAAGAUCAUAUCCUUACUGGAGUCGUGGAUGAAGAGUAUUUGGCAAGACUUGUAGCCUACAACGAUAUAGAAUUGGAUGAGAUUCGAGAACAACGGCUAAGUUUUUUAGGCUUAAUUUUUUAUUGAAAGACUAGUUAUCUUAUUAAUCGAUGUUAUGAUUAAUCGCAUUUAGCUUAACAAAAUAAUACAACACUUUUCUAUAUAUCUAUUUUUAUUUAGCCUAUUGGUUAUUGUUAUUACAUUUCUAAAUUAUAAAUCAAUAUUUUUUUUUAUCAAGUUUAAUUAUUUUUUAUUUUUUAAAAGUAUAGUUAAUUUUGUUGCAUUGUAUUGUUGUGGAUGAAUAAUUCAAGUUAUGUGGAAUUAUUUGGAGUGUUUGUAUUGUAUGUUGUGGGUGAAUUUAAGUUAUAUGAAAGUAUUCGGAGUACGUGUUUUGUUAGUUGAUUUGUAACAGGUUAUAACUCAUUUGACGAUGGGUCGUUUGGUGGUUGUAUUCGAAUCAAAUAUUUAUAAAAAAAAAUUAUUUAUUUAUUAGUAACUAGCGUAAUCUAAUGCUAGUUACUAAUAGUUUUUUUUUAAAAAAUAAAAAAAUAUAUUCGUAACCGGCGUUAAGAUUUGCCAGUUACUAAUAAUACCCUAAUUGUAACCGGCAUAACUUAAUGCCAGUUAC